CAAANACAUGUCCUUUAGAAUNUAAUAGAAGGUCUGACCUGCCCAGUGANUAAUUUAACGGCCGCGGUAUACUGCCCGUGCNANGGNAGCAUANUCAUUAGUCUUUUAAUAGAGGGNNGGAAUGAAAGGUUUAACGAGGAACNGACUGUCUCAUUUUAUUUGUUUUAAAACUUAAUUUUUUAGUUAAANAGCUAAAAUUUAAUUGGAAGACGAGAAGACCCUAUAGAUCUUUAUAUCAAAUAUAUAUAAUUAUUAUUAUAUUAAUAUAUUUAUUUAUAUUUAUAUUUUGUUGGGGUGACAAGAAUAAAAUAUAACUUUUUUAUUUAUUUUUCAUUGAUUUAUGUUUAUUAGAUCCAUUAUUAGUGAUUAUUAGAUUAAGUUACCUUAGGGAUAACAGCGUAAUCCUCCUCCAGAGUUCAUAUUUACAGGAUGGGCUUGCGACCUCGAUGUUGGAUUAAGAUAAUAAUUAGGUGUAGUCGCNUNAUUUAUAGGUCUGNUCGACCUUUAAAUUCUUACAUGAUCUGAG
rnacentral:rRNA from 1 species